AGUGAACGCUGGCGGCAGGCCCAACACAUGCAAGUCGAGCGGCAGCGGGUUCCCGCGAGGGGAUGCCGGCGAGCGGCGGACGGGUGAGGAACACAUCGGAAUCUGCCUGGGUUGUGGGGGAUAACGUAGGGAAACUUACGCUAAUACCGCAUGAGACCCUGAGUCGACGGACUGGGGGUGAAAGUGAGGGACCUUCGGGCCUCACGCGACCAGAUGAGCCGAUGUCGGAUAGCUAGUUGGCGGGGUAACGGCCCGCCAAGGCGACGAUCCGUAGCUGGUCUGAGAGGAUGAUCAGCCACACUGGGACUGAGACACGGCCCAGACUCCUACGGGAGGCAGCAGUGGGGAAUCUUGGACAAUGGGCNCAAGCCUGAUCCAGCCAUGCCG
rnacentral:rRNA from 1 species